rnacentral:rRNA from 1 species
UACGUAGGAGGCGAGCGUGUCCGGAUUUAUUGGGUUUAAAGGGUGCGUAGGCGGUCUAUUAAGUCAGCGGUGAAAUACUCCAGCUUAACUGGAGGGGUGCCAUUGAUACUGAUGGACUUGAGUCAAGUCGAGGUAGGCGGAAUUGACGGUGUAGCGGUGAAAUGCUUAGAUAUCGUCAAGAACACCAAUAGGUGAAGACAGCUUACUGGGCUUAAAACUGACGCUGAGGCACGAAAGUGUGGGGAUCAAACAGG